rnacentral:rRNA from 1 species
AUUGAACGCUGGCGGCAGGCUUAACACAUGCAAGUCGAACGAGUAGCGGACGGGUGAGUAAUGCUUGGGAAUCUGGCUUAUGGAGGGGGAUAACUACGGGAAACUGUAGCUAAUACCGCGUACCAUCGGAUGAGCCCACGUGGGAUGAGGUAGUUGGUGUGGUAAAGGCUCACCAAGCCGACGCUCUCUAGCUGGUCUGAGAGGAUGACCAGCCACACUGGGACUGAGACACGGCCCAUACUCCUACGGGAGGCAGCAGUGGGGAAUAUUGCGCGAUGGGGGCAACUUGACGGAGCCAUGACGCGUGAAUGAAGAAGGCCUUCGGGUUGUAAAGUUCUUUCGUUCGCGAGGCGUUAACUACAGAAGAAGCACCGGCUAACUCCGUGCCAGCAGCCGCGGUAAUAC